rnacentral:misc_RNA from 1 species
GCCGGUCUCGCCCGUGAUGUUAGCGGCCCGCAUCGCCGCCUCGAGGUUGUUAUGGAUGAUGCUGAAUGCACCGGCAUAGGCAUCAUAGAUGCGGACCUGCUCCGCUGUGAGCUGGUGCUCGACCAGUUCGUAUUCGACACCCUCAUAGGACAGCGAGCGAGCGGCAUAGAGUCCAAGCGCCUUGAGGUCGCGCGCCAGCACUUCCAUCGCUGCAACCCCGCCCUCCUCGAUCGCCUCGACGAACUCGGCC